GUCCAGACUCCUACGGGACGCAGCAGUGGGGAAUAUUGCACAAUGGGCGAAAGCCUGAUGCAGCCAUGCCGCGUGUAUGAAGAAGGCCUUCGGGUUGUAAAGUACUUUCAGUAGUCUAGAAGGGGGUGUCGUUAAUAGCGGCAUUUCUUGACGUUAGCAACAGAAGAAGCACCGGCUAACUCCGUGCCAGCAGCCGCGGUAAUACGGAGGGUGCGAGCGUUAAUCGGAAUUACUGGGCGUAAAGCGCAUGCAGGUGGUUCAUUAAGUCAGAUGUGAAAGCCCGGGGCUCAACCUCGGAACUGCAUUUGAAACUGGUGAACUAGAGUACUGUAGAGGGGGGUAGAAUUUCAGGUGUAGCGGUGAAAUGCGUAGAGAUCUGAAGGAAUACCAGUGGCGAAGGCGGCCCCCUGGACAGAUACUGACACUCAGAUGCGAAAGCGUGGGGAGCAAACAGGAUUAGAUACCCUGGUAGUCCACGCCGUAAACGAUGUCUACUUGGAGGUUGUGGCCUUGAGCCGUGGGUUUCGGAGCUUACGCGUUGAGUGGACCGCCUGGGGAGUACGGUCGCAAGAU
rnacentral:rRNA from 1 species